CUACGGGCCGCUGCAGUGAGGAAUAUUGCACAACGGGGGGAACCCUGAUGCAGCAACGCCGCGUGGAGGAUGACGCAUUUCGGUGUGUAAACUCCUUUUAUAUGUCAAGAAAAUGACGGUAGCAUAUGAAUAAGCACCGGCUAACUCCGUGCCAGCAGCCGCGGUAAUACGGAGGGUGCAAGCGUUACUCGGAAUCACUGGGCGUAAAGGACGCGUAGGCGGGUUGGAAAGUCAGGUGUGAAAUCCUACAGCUUAACUGUAGAACUGCACUUGAAACUUCUAAUCUAGAGUAUGGGAGGGGGAGAUGGAAUUAGUGGUGUAGGGGUAAAAUCCGUAGAUAUCACUAGGAAUACCUAAAGCGAAGGCGAUCUCCUGGAACAUUACUGACGCUAAGGCGUGAAAGCGUGGGGAGCAAACAGGAUUAGAUACCCUCAUAGUC
rnacentral:rRNA from 1 species